AAUAACUUCUUUACAAAAAACAAUCACAUUUGUCAUACAAGUAUUCUGCGUUACUAAAAAAGGUAGCGCGUAUUUUAUCAUGGUUAAUGGCUACACUAAUCAAUGUCGAAGCUGAAAAUUAAUUUAGUCACCGAUAUGAUUGAAACAUUGUAAAUUUUUAAUAUUAUUCAAAAAACUUUUAAAACGAACGACUAAAUCAUAAAUACAAUAAUGCAGCAAAAAUGCAUUUACAUGCAAAUUCUUAUAUCCUUAUUCUAAGGAAGGAAAGAGAGAAAAAUCAUCGACAUUUUCGACUUCAUCACUCACAUAAAGCUCAUACGUAUCUAGUGAAACUGAGAAAUCCACUGCGUUUCGACGAGUAAGGUUUGCGCCAGCAAUAGAAAAUUCAGAUUCUGAAGGCACAACUGAUUGUGAACGAUCAAUCACUGUUAAACGAUCGUCAAUGUCAGAAGUCUCAAAAAUGCUGGAGCGAGUUUCAAGAACGUCUUCUUCCAAAUCUGCUACCGAGCUCCGUUCAACAUCUUCAAAUCCAUUUUUACUUACAAGAGGAUCAGAUAAGUCAACAACAGAUUCGUUAGUAUUGCUGAUCGACUCUAAAUUCACGUUGACGUCUUCUACCGGAGUUGGUGCCACGUCAACAGAUGAAGUCGGUUCAGAAGAUUCUUCAGCAGCAAUAGUCUUUAUCGAGGUUGGUUCAACUGAAAUUGGUGGAGUGAAUUCUAUGGGUUUUCCUGGUAACAACUUGGGUAAAACGAAGCGAUCAAGUGAAGGUAAUUCUGAAUAUUCAUUCCAGUUAAUAGGAACACCGUCAUCAUAAACGAUAUUAGGAGCUUUAAGGGCUGGAUUAUAAUAUGAACUCUCCCGCCGACCAGCAGCAGAAGAAGAUGUUAAUAUACAUUCAUAUGGUACCUCAACUACAUCCGAUUUUUCACAUUCGAGGAGCAACAUAUGCUCACUAACCCUGUCUUCGAGAAUCCUCCCCAAAAACAAUUCUCCACGAGCGAACUGUGCAGGAACAGGAAGCCCUAAAAUAGGAGGCGGAUGCAAAGGAUGUGAUGAUGGACGAGUAUAUAAAGGAUCAAAAUGAGAAAACUCUAUGUUAUCACCGUUUUCUUCUUUCUGUUUUUUUAUAUACUCUUCACGUGCCUUAGAAUUCCAAAUCAGUGACAAAGGAAGCGAUCGGUUUUUGCGCUCUUCACCCACGUGAAGGGAAGAUAAUUCCUUUUCGGUAGUUGUAGUAGAAUUAAAGUGUUCAGUAGAUGCACUCUCAUGAUUAGACAUUAAAGGAGAUGGAGGAUUAAUAGAGUUAGGUGAGUCAAAAUCUCGUUGAGAAAAUGAAUUAUUAUCAACACUUGAAUGAAUCGGAUGAAAGUUACCACUAUCAUGGAUGUUGGAUUCGGGUAAAUCAUGCAAGUAAAACUCAUCCAGGAACUUUUGAGAACAAGCACGUUGAGGCUUAUGCGAAUGUGGCCAUAAAGAUUUAGAGGAAUAAAGGGAUUCUGAAACCAUAAGUCUUCGUAAAUUAGAAAAUUCAUAGUUGGAAGCAGAUCUUGGUGAACGAAAGACAAAACGUCGUAAAACAGCGUCUCCUAGACAAAAUGCACUAUGAUGUGUGCCUGGAAAGGUUAUAAGCAGUUCAUCCUGUUUAAGGACUGUUGAAUAAGUAACAAUACCAUUUUGUACUAGAGUUGAAGGGGGAAACAAAAUAUUCUGGUGAAGCAAAAAAUCUGAACAACGCCAAUGCUCAUCUUGCGCAAGCUUUCCAGCUAAUUUUUUAAAAGACUCACUAUGUGCUGAAGGUAUCACAUACCAUUGCAAUGAAGAGCCACCUAAAUGUACCUGAACUGCAUGCAGCUCAGGAGAUUCUACCCGCCAAGGAAGGGUAGUUUUCCAUUUCCCAGCAAAUAAGUGACCAACAUUUGGCCAAGUGUUAAUCAAUGUAUUCGAUCUUAAAUGUACCCUAUCUUUUUGAGCAGCAGAUAUCGAAGGUAUAAAAUAGAAGGGGAUCGAUGGGCGAUUAGUAUAUCCAUACCACAGACUGUCAUGGGUCAAAGAACGCCAAUAAUAUGCAAUAGCUUUAGCCACAUUGUUUUCAAAGUCAUUAGAACUUCCAGCGUUUGAAGGAAACCUGUCGUCGACAUUCAUAUCGGUAGGCUUUUUAGGACCAGCCGAGCCAUGGUCUAUAUCGCUUUGAAUCUCGAAGUACUCUCCUUUCCGUCUCACCAUUCGCUCUAACCAUAAAUCCAUUUUUACAUCGGAAGGUUUCAUUGUAUCUUCGUUCCAAGGAUUUAAAACAGAACUAGGACGAACAACUUUAAUUGCGCCGUAUUUCUUGCCAAGCCUUUCAACGCGCCGAAUAAAACUUUCCAUAUCUACAAAUUCUGAAAUUUUCUAAACAAAUUUUGUUAACAUCCACAAAAUAUUUAAUAUUUUUCGCGUAAACUUACUGGUUCCACAACAGGUAUGCCAUCUGACCCUUCGAUAUGAUAAUCGAUUUCACACUCCAAAGAACUCACUGAUGUGUCACUUUUGCCAGCAUGUUUCUCUUUAACAUUUUGCUGCAUAGCAAUCUAUUUUUCAGCCUUUGGAUUGAAUAUUUUGGUGUUUUUGAGACAUCCACCAAUUCGUGGGAUUUGCUAAAUUUUCCUUUAACAAUCUUUUACCAAGGCAAAUGACGCAUCUGCACUCCAGUUCCAUACCCAAAUUAGCAAAGUAUAACGAACUCGUUAUACCAGCAACUAAAAACAUAAACAAAUUCUCAAAAAUUGAUCAUUUCAAAUUAAUCGAUUAGCAUGCCAAACCAAAUAACGUAGAAUCAAAGUUAUUAGAUGAUGCGGUCAAUUAGCUAUUUUAGGGACUAAGAAGGUCAGAGACUCAACAUUAAAAUUUUCAUUUGUAAACAAAAA